CAGUAGCCGCGGUAAUACGUAGGUGGCAAGCGUUGUCCGGAAUUAUUGGGCGUAAAGCGCGCGCAGGCGGCCUAUCCAGUCUGUCUUAAAAGUUCGGGGCUCAACCCCGUGAUGGGAUGGAAACUAGUAGGCUAGAGUAUCGGAGAGGAAAGCGGAAUUCCUAGUGUAGCGGUGAAAUGCGUAGAUAUUAGGAAGAACACCAGUGGCGAAGGCGGCUUUCUGGACGAAAACUGACGCUGAGGCGCGAAAGCCGGGGGAGCGAACGGGAUUAGAUACCCCCGUAGUCCCUGUCUCUUAUACA
rnacentral:rRNA from 1 species